UCACUAUAUUGCUUAAGCUGGUCUCAAACUCCUGGCCUCAAGUGAUCCUCCCACCUCAGCCUCCCAAAGUGUUGGGAUUACAGGCAUGAGGCAGCCCCUGUGCCCAGCCAGUUACAUACUUAUAGCAAUUUAUUUUGAGUUCAAACAGAAUUCACUUACCUCUUAGGAAAAUUGUAACAGAUUGAAACCUAAAUGGCUGGUUGUUAGAAUGUCCUUGAAAAGCAUGAAGUCCCUUUGUGGCAAUUAUUUCAACUAUUUGUUUAUCUUAAAGCAAAGAGCAAAAAAGAAUUAGAUAUUAGAAUAUAUAUUUAAUUUAAUUUCCAUAUUGAAAUAUCAGACACUACUUUAAAAAUUGUAAUUACAAAAUGUAAAUGCAUAUUACCACCAAGUACUCUAAAUUUUCUGUCUUCUUGAAGUGAAGAUGCACAGAGAUUACACAAAAAGUCAUUUCUUAUCGUUGCAGAUUCUGUAGCACCAGGCACAUGCACUCUUAUAUACUGAAAUCCUGAAAGAAAACAGUGGAGGCAGAAUUACAAGGAGUUACAUAAAAAGAGACACAGAAAGUGAUGAAAUAAGAACAAUGAAAAAAGGGUGAAAAGAAAUACAAAAGAAAUUAGGGAGACGAAUGAUAAAACCUGAACUACAAGUUAAGGAAACUCUUCUGCAAAAAGUCGAAAGAUGGGAUGUUUCACAGAAGAGAGAAUGAAAGUGAUCAUGGAUGGAGGGGCUGGUGAAACGAUAAUGAAGAAGUCCUUGCUUCAAAGAACCUUGCAUUCUACUCAAAGGCGGCACAUAUAAACAAACACGAAAUGUGGCAGGAGGGAAAGCAAGACAGAGUGAGAGGGGUAGCGUGGGGUGUGAAGGUGCUGUUUUUUAUAGGGUGGUCAGAAUAUGCCUCUCUAAUAAGGCAAUAUUUGAGAAUCUGAAGGAAGUAAAUGAAUAAGGUGAUUUAGUUAGGGCCUUUGAGAACUCAGUGCACAGCAUAAAAACAGCUGAGUAAGAGAAAUGUUACAGGUCUCCUCAACCAUCCUACAGAAGACAUGGAAAUACCUCCAGCCUGGAAAAUCAAAGGACACAUGAGAUAAUCUGCUGACAUUUGCUAUGUGUGAACUUCCAUCAAACUUGGCAGGAGGUAUCCUCUCGAGGAAAGAAUGACCCAAAGGCAAAAAUAAGGAGGGGGAAGGAAGGAAGAAAAACUUUCACACACUCUACCAUUUUAUUCUAGGUAUAUCAACCUUUGUUUACCUUCAAUGUGAUACUGCUAAAAAUUUUGCUUAUACAAAUGUGCAACAAAUGCCUACUGUUUAAGAUAUUCCUGCAAUCUAGAGGCUCAGAAGGGGUAUAUGGUCGGAAACACAUUGCAAUUUAUCUGCUCUGGGAUGUGGUGCCAAGUGUGGCAGGUGUGUCUGUUAAGGAAGAGAGGACAGAGGGACUGCUUUCCCUGCUCCUUGUCUGAGACCUUGAGAGAAAACCAUCAUUUUCUAGCACCCAGCCCCACCUAGUUAAGAAGGCAGAGAGAUUUAGUUUAACUCCUCAGCUUUCCUCAACUGCCCUAUGACAGGGACUCUGAGUUGAAAGUCACCUAUCAUGGGACUCAACUGGCAGUGACCAGGUAACCCCCUUUUUAGAGGCUGGGUUGGACCACUGAGCCAGGAGCAGGUGAAGGACAUGUCAGAGCCUCAGGGGGCUCUACAGCUAUCAAGGGCCAAGGUACUGAGUCAGUGGAGAGCUGCCGCAAGACCCUGGGGUCAAGUCAACAAAGAGAUCACAAGCUAGUUCAUCAACUGAAGGUGCCAGCAAUGGAUGCCAGCAAAAUGCCCAGGUUAUCAGGUCAGUCAUAGCUGGCUAUCUGCCAGACCAGCCACUUUACAGCUCAAAAAACAAAGAUCUAGAGGGACGACAAGAACUCAAGAGGCUUCACCAGGCUACCAUGAGGUCAUUCACCAACUCAACAAUAUUGUGAAAGGGGACACCUCUCCUCCCAUAAACCAUGAUGCCAACCUGAGGAGGAUGUGUGUUCAAGUAAGAGAAAGAAAGUAGAAGAGAGGCUAAGCAUUUUAUCCUGAGACCUGAUUAAAUUAUUAGAUCAGACUAAGUAUUAAACAGAAUUGGGCUAAAUGAAUUUCUUCAUAUUACUCAUACAACAUAGAAAAGAUCUAGUUGGAAGUAACCAAAGUGUGGUUUUCAGACUUCCUGCAUCAGGAUGAACUGGUCAAGCGUGCUGAACAAUUCAGAUUACAGUCCUGUAUAGUACAUAGUUAUUUACUCAUUUUGCAAAUAAGGCAACUGAAACAGAUAGGUGAAGUAAUUAAUACAUCCCAGAUUUGAACCCAGGCCAUCUGACUCCAGAGUUCCAACUCUGUAGGUGAGGAGAGAGUGGGGAGUUACGAGGAAGAGCAGAUCAGUAAUAUACAUGAUAAAUGGCUUUUUUUUUUCAGGGGGAGGAGGGCACAAGACCUCUGUAUGUACUAAUAGGACUACUGGAACUACAUACAAUAUUGUAUGUUUCAGCACACUAAUUAGAAAAGUGACUAUUCUCCAAUAAUAAAAACUGAUACACAGAUUGAGCAAA